UGUUUGCCCUAAUCCUGGAAGGGCGAUUGGAGAAUGCGACGAACACCUCUGCCGCUCAUCGCCGGCGCGGUGCUGUAAGUGAAGCAAAUGCGUGAUUGAUUGAUGGCUUUGGGAACUCUAGGGCGGGCGUAGUGUCGGGGAAUUACGUUUUCAAGCAAGAUCUCCAGCGAUACUGGAGCGAGAAGCAAAAGGAAGCACUGGAAUCGCCCACUAGCGAUCAAUCCCAAGGACGUAGCGACCCAUCGCAAGAACACAGCGAUGAAGCGCUCGAAAAUUCGUCCCCGGCGGAUCAAUCGCAGAAGACGAUGGUAUAAACCCUAAAGCCUGCCAGCUGGCCUUUUGUACACGUGGCGGAAGUCUAGUGGAGGCAUCAUGUGUCUCUUUUACCUUUUGUCUUUGCUCUCUUUUUUCAUCAUCGGCGAAACCCUAAGGCAAAUUUUCAGGGAUCUGGGACGGGGCGCUCCAUCCUCGUCGAUCGACCGGCGAGAGCUCCAGGUAGCGUGAAUUCCCCCCUCCGCGACGAUUGCUGGAUUGGCGUGCGAGAGUUUUGGGGGAUUUCUCGCUCAAUGCGAGAGUGAAAUGGCCAUUAGGGAAGCGAGUGAAUCCAGAGCAAGCAUUCUAUCGAGCCGGCACCACAAGAUUCUGGUCAGAUUGAUGGUGAGGUUGAGUGAACAGUAUCUUCGAUCCCAGAGAAAGAGGGAAGAGGUCUCGGCGGAGGCGAGCGACUGUCAGGUGGCGGAGUGGACGGGCGACGAUGCGUAUUUCUUGCGCGAUCGCGAGAGCGGCAGUCACUGGAAGAGGACCAAGAGCAAUCACUCCUGCAAGAGGCCGAGAAUCGACGAAGAGGUGGGCAGUAGCUGCAGUAGUAUGGAUGGAAUUCCGGACGAAAUCCUGGUAGUGAUAUUUGGAUCGAUCCUCUCGGCUCGAGACCGCUCUAGCUGCGCUUCGGUGUGUAGAAGAUGGCUCAUGCUACUUACGCAUAUGCCUCGGCAAGAACUUCCGCGAGAGGUAUGUUCAGAGGACUCGGACGACGCAGUGAAUCAGCCGUGUAGAGCAGGCUCGGCUCCACAGGAAGAAGUUUGGACGCUGGAGAAGCAGCCUCACUGGGCUCUCGGUGAUCUCUCUCGGUGUCUGGAAGGAAAGAAAGCCACAGACGUCCGGCUGGCCGCCAUCGCUGUUGGAACAGGUGCUCACGGUGGUCUCGGAAAGUUGGUCAUUCGAGGAGGACCUGGUGAGCGCUCUGCGAAGGGUGUCACUGAUAUCGGGCUGACGACCAUCGGGAUUUGCUGCAAUGCUUUGAGGGGGCUCACGCUGUGGGAUUGUCCAAACGUUGGAGAUAGCUCGCUGGAGAGCAUUGCUAGAGGUUGCCGGCUUCUCCAGAGCUUGGACCUUCUCAAGUGUCCCAACGUCAGCGAUGCUGGAUUGGAGGCGGUGUCCAGGGGAUGCUUGCGGCUGUCCAACUUGAGCAUCGAGUCUUGCGACGGGAUUGGGAAUGCCGGUAUCAAGGCGAUUGCGAAGAGCUGCUGUUACCUCCAGACGCUUUCGCUAAGCAGGUGUUCCAACAUCAACAGCCACGCGAUAACGUCGGUAAGCAAGCACUGCGUAGCUCUGAAAAAGCUCAAGCUGGAAAAGAUUGGAAUCAACGACCGGGGCCUGGCAUUUCUUACGCAUCACUGCAAGUCGCUUACAAAGCUGGUUUUUUCGGGGCUAGACGUGACGCAGGAAGGUUUCAUCAGCCUUGCACUUCCGGACGGCCUGAAGUAUCUCAAAGUGAUCGUUCUAAAUGCCUGCCAUGGAGUCACGGACCAGUUUUUGUCGAGCCUGGGAAAAUCAUGCAGCUACCUGAACAGGCUGCUGCUCAUCGACUGCGACAACAUUACCGAUCAGGGACUUUGCGCAUUCGUGGAUGGCUGCCAGCGUUUGAGGGGACUGCACAUAGAGAAGUGCCGGAGCAUCACGUAUGCUGGCCUGGCUUCCGUCCUGACAACCACCGCUGAGACGCUCAAGAGUCUCCAGGUUUGCAAGUGCUCUGGGAUUCAAGACUCCAGCUUGACGGCUUCCGCAUCUUUCAAAUGCUCCGGCCUCAAGUCGCUGGUUGUCAAUCACUCGGAAGGGAUCGGAAACAGGUGUCUGGAGAUGGCUGGAUUCGUCUUCCCUGCGGUUCAGCACUUGGACCUUUGUGGGAUCAGCAAGCUCAGCGACACGGGACUGUUAGCGUUUCUAGAGACCAGUGGCUCGAGCUUAGUCUUCCUCAACCUUAGCGACUGCGUUGAGCUAACAGACAAGGCAAUAGUUGGCGUCUCGCGGAAGUGCUUCGAGCUACAGACAGUGAUACUGGACGGCUGUGUCAAGGUUAGCGACAAGAGCGUGGGGGUCUUAGCCAGCCAGUGCAGGUCUUUACAAGAACUGGACGUGUCCAAUUGUUCCAUCACCGACGAUGGUAUUGUCGCGGUGGUGAUCUCCGUCGGACCGACUCUCAAGACGCUGUCCUUGUCCGGUUGCAGCCGCGUGACGGACGAGUCACUGCCAACGAUCCAGAAGAUGUGCGAUUCUUUGACAGCUCUGAAUCUCAAGAACUGUAGCGGCUUUACAGCGGCGGCCCUGGAGAAGUUCGUGUCGGAUCUGGGGACGCGUUGUGACAUACUCAUGCCGUAGAACACGAGGAUCAACAAGCAGCACACCACCACACAGAGUCUGUCUGGAGCAGAGCAAGCAGCAGCAGCGAGCAGCGAGCAGUGACAACUUGAUCGUCUCCGUGCGACGCGAGCAAACACCCUAAGCUAUGUUUUGCUGCGUUCAUCCACAUGGUCUUCCUUGCAUUUGAGCAGGCCUUGUGACGUCGUGGUGCUGUACAAAGACUCCAGGCUUUUCUCGUACAGAUUACACAGGCUAUUAAACAUCACAACAAUCGAUUUGUUCAGCUUAAGCAAGAAGAAGCUUCGUAAGCUCUGGGCCCCGAGAAGGGGAAGAAGAAAAAGAGUCCGAGAUGGAGAGUCCGAGCUCGUCUCGUCCGAAUGGAAACAAACAAGCACUCAUGCGAGUUUGACUCCAUCCAACUCCAAGCGAGUUAGAAAAAUGCCUAGAGUUUCCAUUGUCCAAGGCGGCGAAGACGAUGCAUUGCCAACACGCUAUGGAUUUGACGACAAGAGUUUCUUGCCACGAGUAAACAAAGGCAAAAGGCUAGCUCUAGGAAAAUGUUAGAAGGGCCACGGAUAUUCGCCUGCGUGGGCCAGGAAGAUUCGAUCUUUCACCACCUUUCAAUGGUGGGCGCCCAAACAUUUAAGCACCACCACCGAGGAUAUAAAAAUAAAGGCUCGCAAACCA